UCCCUGGUAGUCCAGUGGUUAAGACUCUGUCCUUCCAAUGCAGAGAACCAGGGUUUGAUCCCUGGUCAGGGAA
rfam:Ovis aries breed Texel chromosome 13, whole genome shotgun sequence.